AUUGAACGCUGGCGGCAGGCUUAACACAUGCAAGUCGAGCGGAGCGAGGGUGCUUGCACCUUAGCUUAGCGGCGGACGGGUGAGUAAUGCUUAGGAAUCUGCCUAUUAGUGGGGGACAACAUUCCGAAAGGAAUGCUAAUACCGCAUACGCCCUACGGGGGAAAGCAGGGGAUCUUCGGACCUUGCGCUAAUAGAUGAGCCUAAGUCGGAUUAGCUAGUUGGUGGGGUAAAGGCCUACCAAGGCGACGAUCUGUAGCGGGUCUGAGAGGAUGGUCCGCCACACUGGGACUGAGACACGGCCCAGACUCCUACGGGAGGCAGCAGUGGGGAAUAUUGGACAAUGGGCGGAAGCCUGAUCCAGCCAUGCCGCGUGUGUGAAGAAGGCCUUUUGGUUGUAAAGCACUUUAAGCGAGGAGGAGGCUCUUAAGGUUAAUACCCUUGGAUAGUGGACGUUACUCGCAGAAUAAGCACCGGCUAACUCUGUGCCAGCCGCCGCCGUAACAC
rnacentral:rRNA from 1 species